rnacentral:tRNA from 1 species
CUGUAGCGCAAUUGAUAGCGCGUUGGACUUCUAAUCCAAACGACGUGGUUUCGAAUCCCACUAUAAAUGG